rnacentral:rRNA from 1 species
UUGAAAGGGAAACGAUUGAAGUCAGUCGUACCGACGGAAAAUCAGCUCUUCGAGUGCGAACUUGUGGGCGUACGUGAGCUUUAACCGGCCUCGUUGUUUGCGUUGUUUGUGCUUUUUGGGUGUACUUUUUCGUAUGGUUGGCCAACGUCAGUAUCGGUCACCAUAAAAUGAUUGGAGGAAUGUAGCUUCGAUCUUGUAUUGAAGUGUUAUAGCCUCUGGUAGAUGUGGUGAACGAAACUGAGGAUUGCAACGAAUACCCUUCGGGCUAUCCGUCUGACCUCUGAAAGUUGCUUGGGUGCCGAAAGCUUGCUUACGGUCAUCCAUGACGACGGUCAAAAGGUUAGAACGCGAUUACAUUCGUUAAGGAUGUUGACGUA